UACGUAGGUGGCAAGCGUUGUCCGGAUUUAUUGGGUUUAAAGGGUGCGUAGGCGGCCCUGUAAGUCAGCGCUGAAAUAUCCCGGCUUAACCGGGAGGGUGGCAUUGAUACUGCAGGGCUUGAGUAAAGUUGAGGUUGGCGGAAUUGACGGUGUAGCGGUGAAAUGCUUAGAUAUCGUCAAGAACACCGAUAGUGAAGACAGCUAAC
rnacentral:rRNA from 1 species